AGUGAAGAGGGAAGAGCCCAAGAUUGAAAGCUGGCGCCUUCGGCGUCCGCAUUGUAAUCUCAAGAAGUGUUUUCCGCUUCGGACCAUGCCUAAGUCCCUUGGAAAAGGGCAUCAUAGAGGGUGAUAAUCCCGUACAUGGCAUGGAGCGCCCGAAGCUUUGUGAUACGCUUUCUAAGAGUCGAGUUGUUUGGGAAUGCAGCUCAAAAUGGGUGGUAAAUGCCAUCUAAGGCUAAAUAUUGGGGAGAGACCGAUAGCGAACAAGUACAGUGAUGGAAAGAUGAAAAGAACUUUGAAAAGAGAGUUAAACAGUACGUGAAAUUGCCAAAAGGGAAGGGUAGGAGGUCAGAGAUGCGUCGCAGGAUUCACCCUUGCUUUUGCUUGGUGUUUUUCCUGCGUUGCAGGCCAACGUCGGUUUUGGGCACUGGAGAAGGGUAGGAGGAACGUGGCACCUCUCGGGGUGUGUUAUAGCCUCCUACUGGAUACAGCGACCGAGACCGAGGAACGCAGCGUACUCGUAAGAGCGGGCCUUUUGGCACCUUUACGCUUAGGGCGUUGGCAUAAUGGCCCUCUACCACCCGUCUUA
rnacentral:rRNA from 1 species